rnacentral:lncRNA from 1 species
ACAUGGUCAGCUAUUAUGAGCGGAAUCACAGAAUAGCAGUUGGAGCUCGCCAUGGUUCAGUGGCCCUGUACGACAUCCGGACUGGAAAAUGUCAGGCACUAUACCAGGCAAAGGAGAGGUGACAAAGGAGCGGGAACACAUGUGAAGAUCCUGACCUACUGCUCUAACCAAACCAUCUUCCGUUAACCAUAACCCAAAUCAAAACCCACGAAAAUGCCAAGUCCCAUCAUGACGGACAUUUACUUAGGAAUGUGAUUGCUGUCCAGUGAGUUAGUGUGUACAUGUGUCUGCUGAAGUCCUGCCAUGUAAAAGCCUGAAAUGUCUAGAAAGGGUGGAGAUAAUCAAGACCAUUCAUGCUGCUGAGGAACUCCAUGUGGAAGCAGGAGGGGAGGGAUUUAUUUUCAUAGCACAGUAUAAGACUUCUAGCAUGUGUUCAAAUAGUUUUCUAUUAGAAAUACUGAAAAAAACAUUUAGCUUUGGGUUUGCCCAGAUCUGAAGAAAACAUUUUGUGUGACUUUUUAGGCAUAUGCAAGUGAAACUUUAAUAAAUAUUUCAUAUGAGCAGUGUAAAUA